GGUUAAGUUAGAAAGGGCGCACGGUGGAUGCCUUGACACUAGGAGUCGAUGAAGGACGGGACUAACGCCGAUAUGCUUCGGGGAGCUGUAAGUAAGCUUUGAUCCGAAGAUUUCCGAAUGGGGAAACCCACCAUACGUAAUGGUAUGGUAUCCUUAUCUGAAUACAUAGGGUAAGGAAGACAGACCCAGGGAACUGAAACAUCUAAGUACCUGGAGGAAGAGAAAGCAAAUGCGAUUUCCUGAGUAGCGGCGAGCGAAACGGAACAUAGCCCAAACCAAGAGGCUUGCCUCUUGGGUUUGUAGGACAUUCUAUACGGAGUUACAAAGGAACGAGGUAGACGAAGCGACCUGGAAAGGUCCGUCGUAGAGGGUAACAACCCCGUAGUCGAAACUUCGUUCUCUCUUGAAUGUAUCCUGAGUACGGCGGAACACGUGAAAUUCCGUCGGAAUCUGGGAGGACCAUCUCCCAAGGCUAAAUACUCCCUAGUGAUCGAUAGUGAACCAGUACCGUGAGGGAAAGGUGAAAAGCACCCCGGAAGGGGAGUGAAAGAGAUCCUGAAACCGUGUGCCUACAAAUAGUCAGAGCCCGUUAACGGGUGAUGGCGUGCCUUUUGUAGAAUGAACCGGCGAGUUACGAUCCCGUGCGAGGUUAAGCUGAAGAGGCGGAGCCGCAGCGAAAGCGAGUCUGAAUAGGGCGUUUAGUACGUGGUCGUAGACCCGAAACCAGGUGAUCUACCCAUGUCCAGGGUGAAGUUCAGGUAACACUGAAUGGAGGCCCGAACCCACGCACGUUGAAAAGUGCGGGGAUGAGGUGUGGGUAGCGGAGAAAUUCCAAUCGAACCUGGAGAUAGCUGGUUCUCCCCGAAAUAGCUUUAGGGCUAGCCUUAAGUGUAAGAGUCUUGGAGGUAGAGCACUGAUUGGACUAGGGGUCCUCAUCGGAUUACCGAAUUCAGUCAAACUCCGAAUGCCAAUGACUUAUCCUUAGGAGUCAGACUGCGAGUGAUAAGAUCCGUAGUCAAAAGGGAAACAGCCCAGACCGCCAGCUAAGGUCCCAAAGUGUGUAUUAAGUGGAAAAGGAUGUGGAGUUGCUUAGACAACUAGGAUGUUGGCUUAGAAGCAGCCACCAUUUAAAGAGUGCGUAAUAGCUCACUAGUCGAGUGACUCUGCGCCGAAAAUGUACCGGGGCUAAAUACACCACCGAAGCUGCGGAUUGAUACCAAUGGUAUCAGUGGUAGGGGAGCGUUCUAAGGACAGUGAAGUCAGACCGGAAGGACUGGUGGAGUGCUUAGAAGUGAGAAUGCCGGUAUGAGUAGCGAAAGACGGGUGAGAAUCCCGUCCACCGAAUGCCUAAGGUUUCCUGAGGAAGGCUCGUCCGCUCAGGGUUAGUCAGGACCUAAGCCGAGGCCGACAGGCGUAGGCGAUGGACAACAGGUUGAUAUUCCUGUACCACCUCUUUAUCGUUUGAGCAAUGGAGGGACGCAGAAGGAUAGAAGAAGCGUGCGAUUGGUUGUGCACGUCCAAGCAGUUAGGCUGAUAAGUAGGCAAAUCCGCUUAUCGUGAAGGCUGAGCUGUGAUGGGGAAGCUCCUUAUGGAGCGAAGUCUUUGAUUCCCCGCUGCCAAGAAAAGCUUCUAGCGAGAUAAAAGGUGCCUGUACCGCAAACCGACACAGGUAGGCGAGGAGAGAAUCCUAAGGUGUGCGAGAGAACUCUGGUUAAGGAACUCGGCAAAAUGACCCCGUAACUUCGGGAGAAGGGGUGCUUUCUUAACGGAAAGCCGCAGUGAAUAGGCCCAAGCGACUGUUUAGCAAAAACACAGCUCUCUGCGAAGCCGUAAGGCGAAGUAUAGGGGGUGACACCUGCCCGGUGCUGGAAGGUUAAGGAGAGGGGUUAGCGUAAGCGAAGCUCUGAACUGAAGCCCCAGUAAACGGCGGCCGUAACUAUAACGGUCCUAAGGUAGCGAAAUUCCUUGUCGGGUAAGUUCCGACCCGCACGAAAGGUGUAACGAUUUGGGCACUGUCUCAACCAGAGACUCGGUGAAAUUAUAGUACCUGUGAAGAUGCAGGUUACCCGCGACAGGACGGAAAGACCCCGUGGAGCUUUACUGUAGCCUGAUAUUGAAUUUUGGUACAGUUUGUACAGGAUAGGCGGGAGCCAUUGAAACCGGAGCGCUAGCUUCGGUGGAGGCGCUGGUGGGAUACCGCCCUGACUGUAUUGAAAUUCUAACCUACGGGUCUUAUCGACCCGGGAGACAGUGUCAGGUGGGCAGUUUGACUGGGGCGGUCGCCUCCUAAAGUGUAACGGAGGCGCCCAAAGGUUCCCUCAGAAUGGUUGGAAAUCAUUCGUAGAGUGCAAAGGCAUAAGGGAGCUUGACUGCGAGACCUACAAGUCGAGCAGGGACGAAAGUCGGGCUUAGUGAUCCGGUGGUUCCGCAUGGAAGGGCCAUCGCUCAACGGAUAAAAGCUACCCCGGGGAUAACAGGCUUAUCUCCCCCAAGAGUCCACAUCGACGGGGAGGUUUGGCACCUCGAUGUCGGCUCAUCGCAUCCUGGGGCUGUAGUCGGUCCCAAGGGUUGGGCUGUUCGCCCAUUAAAGCGGUACGCGAGCUGGGUUCAGAACGUCGUGAGACAGUUCGGUCCCUAUCCGUCGUGGGCGUAGGAAAUUUGAGAGGAGCUGUCCUUAGUACGAGAGGACCGGGAUGGACGCACCGCUGGUGUACCAGUUGUUCUGCCAAGGGCAUAGCUGGGUAGCUAUGUGCGGAAGGGAUAAGUGCUGAAAGCAUCUAAGCAUGAAGCCCCCCUCAAGAUGAGAUUUCCCAUAGCGUAAGCUAGUAAGAUCCCUGAAAGAUGAUCAGGUUGAUAGGUUCGAGGUGGAAGCAUGGUGACAUGUGGAGCUGACGAAUACUAAUAGAUCGAGGACUUAACCAU
rnacentral:rRNA from 1 species